rnacentral:rRNA from 1 species
AAGCGUGCGCAGGCGGUUUUGUAAGACUGUCGUGAAAUCCCCGGGCUCAACCUGGGAAUGGCGAUGGUGACUGCAAGGCUAGAGUUUGGCAGACGGGGGGUAGAAUUCCACGUGUAGCAGUGAAAUGCGUAGAUAUGUGGAGGAACACCGAUGGCGAAGGCAGCCCCCUGGGUCAAAACUGACGCUCAUGCACGAAAGCGUGGGGAGCAAACAGGAUUAGAUACCCCAGU